rnacentral:rRNA from 1 species
GAUGAACGCUAGCGAUAGGCUUAACACAUGCAAGUCGAGGGGCAGCAUGGUCUUAGCUUGCUAAGGCUGAUGGCGACCGGCGCACGGGUGCGUAACGCGUAUGCAACUUGCCUCACAGAGGGGGAUAACCCGUCGAAAGACGGACUAAUACCGCGUACACUCUAUGUUGGGCAUCCAAUGUAGAGGAAAUGAACUUCGCUGUGAGAUAGGCAUGCGUCCCAUUAGCUAGUUGGUGAGGUAACGGCUCACCAAGGCGACGAUGGGUAGGGGAACUGAGAGGUUGAACCCCCACACUGGUACUGAGACACGGACCAGAAUACUACGGGAGGCAGCAGUGAGGAAUAUUGGUCAAUGGGCGAGAGCCUGAACCAGCCAAGUCGCGUGAAGGAUGACUGUCUUAUGGAUUGUAAACUUCUUUUAUACGGGAAGAACAAGAGUCACGUGUGGCUCCCUGCAUGUACCGUAUGAAUAAGCAUCGGCUAACUCCGUG